rnacentral:lncRNA from 1 species
CACAUGCAAAGUAAACCUUUUAUUUACUUAACCACCAUGGGAAACUGCAUGUAACAAAAUCAGCAUGUAAUUCUCGCCACAGAAAUGUUGUUUUAUAACCACUGUGAUUUUUAAGACUUACACAAAGAACCAAAUCAUGACACCUUUGCUUGUGCUGAGCAGAAUCUUUGCAAGCAGCGAGAGCAGAUUUUAAUUUGCGCGAAUGAUUUCCUAAUACUUUGGUGGAGCAGAAGCAGCCUGAAAACUGAUGAAAGUGGAAUGAAGAUCGUUUUCCAUGCCAGGGAGCAAAGUGGUCUAUUGUAUUCAGGAAGAAAGUAAUUUUCUGGACCUGGAUCUUUUUCAACUAUUGCAUUUCAACUACUGCUCAUUGAUGCUGAGAAGACAGCUGGUUUGAUGAUUUGUACAUUGCUGCAGAAGCAGAAUAAGAAUUGCUUCAGUGGGAUGAAGAAAUUAUUUCAGUUUGGAAUCCAGCAAUAAAUGAAACAAAGUUGUUGUCAAACCACUGUAAGCAGCACAUAAAUAAAAGUCAAGCAAAGAAAUUGUGUUGGAUUGAGGAAAGGACUAGGACACCUGAAACAUCAUUGCCUAGAGCGGAACUCCUGGCAGCAUCCAGCCUUCACUGGAGGAAGCACAAGUGUAUCCUUUCAACGUCUAUCAGAUUUCUUGCACAAGGCCUGUGCCUUUCCUCCACGUGACCCCUUGAUGUGC